ACGAACGCUGGCGGCUGCUUAACACAUGCAAGUCGAACGGAGUGGCGAAAGGGUGAGUAACGCGUGAGCAACCUGCCUAUGACAGUGGGAUAGCCUCGGGAAACCGGGAUUAAUACCGCAUAGGCAGAGAUGGGUUCGCGUCUGAUUAGCUAGUUGGUGAAAUAACAGCCCACCAAGGCGACGAUCAGUAGCCGGUUUGAGAGGAUGACCGGGCACAUUUGAUGUGAGACACCGUUCAAACUCCUACGGGAGGCAGCAGUGGGUAAUAAUGCACCAUGGGGGAAACCCUGAUGCAGCGACGCCGCGUGAACGAAGAAUGUAUUCGUAUCGUAAAGUUAUGUCCUAUGGGAAGCAGUACCAUAGAAGAAAGCUCCGACUAAAUACGUGCCAGCAGCCGCGGUAAUUC
rnacentral:rRNA from 1 species